GACAAGCAGAAAGAUUUGAAUCUGUGAGGAGUCUGACGCGCUGGAGAAGUGGGCGUGGCCCAGCCGCACCGGACAGACUCCACUCCAUGAAUGAGUCAAGUCUACGACGAGCUGAGCUGAGCUGUGGGGGAAAGAAACAAAUUCAAACUAAAAAAGAAAGAGGAAGAGGUUGUUAGGUUAUUUAUUCGCUGCCUGCAAAGCGCAGGAGCAGUUUGUAAAGCUCAUACUUGUUAGUCCAGAAGUGCUCAGGUCCCAGUCCGAGGCUCAGUACUCCACUCGUCUUCAAAUGUCCAGUUUGGACUGCCUCAGAUUCCUGUUCAUGGCUUGGAGAAGAACCUUAUGUGGUCUACUGCUUUUGUAGCCAAUUUGCCUCAAGCACUAUUCUGUAGAAGCUCUAGAGAAAAUCCCAGAAGAUCAGCAAUUUCCGAAACAGUCAAACCAAACCUGGCACUAACAACUACGCCACAGUCAAGGUCACGAGAGAAAGCCACAGCUGCCUGACAAAUCUGAGGACCAGGUCAUCCCAGGUAUCCAUGUUUUGGAUCCCUAUACUGCAUCUAUUUUGUGAUGUCUAUGUAUAUCUAGCUAUCUAUAUCUAACUGUAUACAUGGAAGUGUAUAUUUGAGCAACAGAUAAUCAAGAUGGCAAAUACAAUGAGUGGAUGUGAAACACUGGUAAACCUGAUAACUGAAGCUGAGUAAUGUAAGGAACUAAUUGGUUGCAAUAAAUAUUACCCUGAAAAGAAAAAAAAAAACAUGAUCGGCGUGACAUUUGUCUCCUUCUGUGGUCGAUGCCGGGACCCGAAAGUGUUUGUUUUAACGGUGUGUUUACAUUUGAUGUGUCCUCCUACUUGUCUAUCAGUUGAGAGCAGAGUGGUUGAGCUGUGGUUUAGAAGAACACUAUGCAUUCCCAGACUAUAUGAGGACGCGUGUAAUGUUUUCAAAUGUCACUCACUCUCUCUCUCUCACGCAUACACAUCUACACCCACAUUAUCAGACACAUGCUUAGCUGGAAGCAACAGGUUUUUAAAGAUAUUGAUAGGAAUAUAUUUUGCACAGAAAAUAAUUAAAAUAUUAGCAGUCACAGAUCAUGUCCAAAAAAUUAUGUCCAGUACUGUACAAAAGUCUUAGGCACCCUUUUUUUUCCCCAUACAAACUUUGUUAUAGAUUUCUAUUUUAUGACUUCUACAUUAUGGAGUCAGUACAAAAACAUUUUAGAGUCCAAAUGUUCGUUUUCCAACACAAAAUUAAAUGUUACGGGGAAAAAAAAAGUUUGUCUGAGCAGCAUAUUACAUAAGAGAGCACUUUUCAGAUUAAAAAAGAAAACGUAAUAAAGGCUCCUGGGUUUUGGUGCAAAAUGAAGACGCAAGUGUGACAGUGUCCAAAAGAACUGUGGCUAGUUCUGUAAGAUGCUCAGUAAAACCUACAGCUCAUUUCCUUAUCAAACUGCAUUCACUGUACCUGAGACUACUAUUUUUUAUUCUAUUUUUAAAUAGAGGGUCAUCUUACACCAAAUAUUGACUUUGUUUCAUUUAUUAUGGCUUACUGCUGUUUAUAGUAUUUUUUUUUUUAAUAAUGAUGAAACAUUUCAUUAAAUUUUUUUUAAACCAUUUUUGGUCUGCAGCAUUUCUUUACAUGGGCUUAAGAUUUUUGCAGAGGUGUGUGUGUGUGUGUGUGUGUGUGUGUGUGUGUGUGUGUGUGUGUGUGUGUGUGUGUGUGUGUAAAUUAAUUUAGUUAAGAACUGUAAAAGUCUUAGAUUCUUGUAAAAAAAAUGUAGAAAGGUGCUUUUGUAAAGAUAUUUCUCAAUACUUAAAGGAUACUAUAUUUGCUAGGAAGGGCAGUAAACAGUAAGAUAAGCCUUUAUUGUCUCCAAAAUGGAGAAAUUCAUCUUGGGCAAAUGAGAGUCUGACAUGAAUACACAUAAAAUCAAAAAACACAUUUACACACUAUAAAAAAACAAAAAAACACUCACCCAUACAUAGACAUACAAUCAAAAACACAUUUACACACUACAAAAAAAAAAAAGGGACACACACACACACACACACACACACACACACCAGUUCUUCCAAUACAUUCACCCCCAACACACUAGUUCUUCCAAUACAUUCACCCCCCAACACACCAGUUCUUCCAAUACAUUCACCCCCCCCCCCCCCCCC